UACAGAGGUCCCAAGCGUUGUUCGGAUUCACUGGGCGUAAAGGGUGCGUAGGUGGCUUGGUAAGUUUGAUGUGAAAUCUCCGGGCUUAACCCGGAAAUGGCAUUGAAUACUACUGUGCUGGAGGUUUGGAGGGGGGACUGGAAUUCUCGGUGUAGCAGUGAAAUGCGUAGAUAUCGAGAGGAACACCAGUGGCGAAGGCGAGUCCCUGGACAACACCUGACACUGAGGCACGAAAGCUAGGGGAGCAAACAGG
rnacentral:rRNA from 1 species